AUUGAACGCUGGCGGCAGGCCUAACACAUGCAAGUCGAACGAGUGGCGGACGGGUGAGUAAUGUCUGGGACACUGCCCGAUGGAGGGGGAUAACUACUGGACACUGUAGCUAAUACCGCAUACCAUCGGAUGUGCCCAGAUGGGAUUAGCUAGUAGGUGGGGUAAAGGCUCACCUAGGCGACGAUCCCUAGCUGGUCUGAGAGGAUGCCCAGCCACACUGGAACUGAGACACGGUCCAGACUCCUACGGGAGGAAGCAGUGGGGAAUAUUGCACAAUGGGCGCAAGCCUGAUGCAGCCAUGCCGCGUGUGUGAAGAAGGCCUUCGGGUUGUAAAGUACUUUAAGCGGGGAGGCGUUACUCGCAGAAUAAGCACCGGCUAACUCCGUGCCAGCAGCCGCGGUAAUAC
rnacentral:rRNA from 1 species